rnacentral:lncRNA from 1 species
UUUUAUUCUUUUGUAAUGAAACAAAAAACUCGACUUUUAACAAAGAAACCUUUUAUAGAAACCUUGAAGACAAUAGACUGUAAAUAUCGUAUAAUUAAAUUGAUGUUUCCACAGUAGACUGAUGAAACAUUUUCAGUUAAAGUUAGAUUCACCUUGCCAAUCUGUAAUAAAAGCUUGUAUAACAAAUUUGAAUCAGUGGCCAAGUGUUAUCGAAUUUAACUUGUAAAUGGGUUGUUCGAGCCUACCAAAUUUUUAAAUUAGAUUAUUUCAAGAACUGCUAUGUUAAACAUUUGCUGCAGUGCGAUAUCUGUACAUUUACUGUACCCACCAAUUUACAAAAGAAUAAUAUAUAUUACUGUGGUCACAAAUAAUAUAUAUUCUUAUAUAAUAAUACUAGUUAAAUUGGUUUGUGGUUUAAGCACUGAUCUACUUAAAUAACUAGUAACUCAUCAAUCAACCAGUAUAUGGACUGAAUCAAUUACCAAUUUUUUGGAACAUUGAUGUAUAUCAACGCAAGUGCCUCUGAAAUCAUUCUGCUAAUGAAAAUUUACAGAGAAAUAGGUUUACUUAAAAGGUUGGUUAUACUAAAUGUGUGUUUGGAGACACUGAUAUAUUAGAUUGUUAUAGCAUAGAUUUCUCUGGUGUUCUAAUUUUUCCAGAGCAAAAAAAAAAAAAUUGAGGAGAUUUAAAGUAUAAAGUUGAAUAUAUAUCUACAUAGCAUGCCCCAAGUUUCUCAAGAUGUAUUGUACAACUGCUAAACAAUGGUGAAUAUGUGAGAGAUAAUUUAAGGCAUACCACAAUGACAUUCUUCUCUAAAAGAAAACAUGUACAUGACCCUAAGCUGAGAGGCACUUCCUGUACAGGGAUUACGUGUUCAAUAUUUUCUUUGGCUUGAGAUGGAAGAAAUUAACCAGUACUGCUUCUAUAAGUUUGAUAAAUUUCAUCCACUUGCUCUGCUGGCACAUAAAUUGCAUCUUUUAGAAAGCUAUGAGUUCGGCCAUAAAAGACAUAAACUAGUAGUCCUGUUCCCAUCCAUAUAGAAACACGCAACCAUGUACCAUAUCUGAAACAAAGAUGAGUAAGAAUUAGAAAAUGCAAUUCCAUUAACAAAGUUUCAACAUUGAACUGCUGAUUCUGCAAAAUACUAUGAAUAUAUCUCAGUUUUAUCCAUUUGACUCUUCUCUGUUAUUUAGAAUGUUGGUUGAAUUAGACAGUUUAUUCUACAGCACGGACAUUCAAUUUUACAAACCAGAGAAACAAAUAUGAAAAGAAAAAUAUCGUGAACAUUUUCAGGGAAUGUAGUUCUUGAAUUGAAUUAAUAUUUUCAUUAUUCUAUUAUCAACCAAAGUUUUAAAAAAUGGUCCACGGUUAUAAUUUCGGUCACAUUUCUUCUAAAUUUCCUGCAAUAUCAAGUAUCCCCAUUAAACUAUGACCAGAACCAAAUGAGCAACUUGUUAUAAACAAUAAAUAUGAACCAGUGAGAAAGGAUAGUUCAGUAAGAGAAACCGAACAGGAGCUUUUCCAAUUAACAUCACACAAAAAAUAUCAGUUUUUAUUCAAUUAAAGUUCCUGCCAUUCUUACUAUUUACUAGAAUGAAGGUGAAAUUAUGUUUGUUAAAGCAGGCAGAGGAGAAAGAGAAUACUAGAUGUAUUCUGAUAUUAACUUCAUUAAAUAACAAUAAAAUUCUAAAAGUUAUUAGUCUUGAAAUCAAAAUACUUCCAUCAAUUUCAAGAUUUCCACACACAGCCUGAUGUAAAAGAAUACAUUUGAAAAGCGAGUUUGGUCAAACAAAAAGUAUAACAAAUUAAGUAUUAAUGCUUACCCAAGAUUAACAAGUAAGUAGGAAUUUAUGAGAAUGCAAGCUAUCGGAAGCAGUGGCACAAAUGGGCAAAUAAAACCUGAAAAAGAAUAAUGAUUGAAUUAUCUCUCUUAAGCUGAAUAGAAUUAAUGGUCAGCCUAUUUUUUACUGUUUGUUAUAAUUAUAUGCAACUCUUGUUCAAUAUACUCCAUGUGUGUGACACUAGAAGAUAUGCACCUCUGCAUUUGAAUGGAAUAAGACAACCAACACUACUCAUGAAUUUAUGUAACACAAGGAUAUUGUGGUAAGAUAUACCUCCAGUGUGCCCAAAGUCAUGUCUUGCGUCAUCUUGAUCUAUUCUGAUUAGGAAAACAAAACCACACAAAAGAAUAGCAGCUCCAACUCCACACAAUGCAAAGCGAACAGAACUGGCAAUAGCAUACAAAAAUGCUCAAAAAACUGGGAACCUCAUGCAAUCCUUAAAUGACACGAAAAACAACAGAUAAAGUGCAUAAAUUUAUUGAAGAGAUUAUCCUGUAACAGUAUUAUCAAACCUCUUCAAUUCUCAGGAUAAGGCCUAGUCCCUAAUAGCCCAUUUCCUUUCAUCUCAAACCAACCACCAAACUAUUUAGGGAACCUGAAUCCUUGAUUAGGUAUUGAGAAAUUUCCAUUGCAUGUGAAGCUUGAGAAAGGCUACAUAAUCUGCAAGUAGACUAACCUAGGAAGAGUGAAAUCUGAAGCUGCAUAUGUAAGGACAAACGCCCCUAAGAAGAUCAGUGAUAUGAUCCACCCAACAACUUUUCGCCUUUCAGCUUCAACUAUAUCUGUACCCAAAAUAAAUAAAUAAAUAAAUGCAUGAAGGAGAAAAUCAACAUAUGCCAAAUGACAGGAUUAUAACAAAUGAACCAAUGUUAGUUUCUUGAGCGACAUAGACUAUAUAUAAUGAACACUAAAUUGUAUUAUCCAUUAAAAAUAUUGGUAAAGGAGAAGGAAAGUGAUAACUCACGGUUUCCUCCAGAAAAAUGUUUGGUAAAAUCAACUGAAACAUCCUCCUUAACGAUCAAAGGCUUUGUGUGCUCAGAAGUAUUAGCAUCUACGUCUCCCACAUUUGUAUCUGAACUGCUCAAACUAUACCGCUUCAACACUGAAGCAAUUGAAUCCUUGAGAGAUGGAGGCAGCGGGACUUCAUUUGGAGGGACAUAUCUUAGGAUCAACACAGACAUUGCCACCAUGGUAAAUGCUAAAAGUGUACCCACACUAACCUGCAGGAGAAAAGUUAUAUACAUAUUAGUACAAAUAUCGACAUAUACAUAUUAGAACUACCUUAGGAAUACUUGAUGUCAACAGAGUAUGGAAUCAAAAAAGCGAAAAAAUAUUCUAGCCAUAUUGGAAAAAUAACCGACAUUCACGUCAACUAGAAAUAAUGUUAGAUACAAUAUGUAAGUAAAGCCACUUAUAAUUUUAUAAAUCGGUUUUGUAAGAUUAAAUUAGGUCAAAGAUACUUUGCAAGAUGAUAUUAGAACUGACCCUCAUAAGGGAUCACUCACCAUUAUAUACACUUACUAUGACCAGAGUUGGACAUAUGAGGGGCAAUCCUGUCACAAAUUUUGUUGGUUAAGUUAGGUCUAAACUACUUUGUAAGAUGGUAUUCCAACCUAUGCCAGAUCUACUAAAAGGGUUACUCACCACCAUGUUAUAAACCAAGCCCAAUUGUGGGGCAAUCCUAUUGGACUAGACUGAUAUAAAAACUCGUCAUUUAACUUCUCCAAAGCAAGGUAUAAGUUGAUUUUAGCUUUUGGAGAAAAAAUAUUUCUCCUUCCUGUGAGUGUAAGGAAAAAUCUAUGUGAACUGAACCAAAGUAAAUUUAGUUACCGUACUAUUCAAGGAGAGUGAACUAAUAAUGGUGUUGGUAAAGAGUGUUAUUAGAGGAAUGUUAGUUGCUAUAACGCACUAUUUCAUUUAGCAACGAAACUUGUAUCCACUGAAUCUAAAAAUUGUAGCAACCAAGUUCCAGACUUACCAUCCCUGCCAAUUCAGAGACUUCCAUAGAAAAUGCCAAGCCUGCAGCCACAAUGCCAGUAACUAUUGUGCCCUUAACAGGAACCUGAGUCUUCUUAUUUAUAUCAGCACAAAAAGGUGGCAGCAAUCCAUCUCUUGCCAUAGACAUCAAAAUUCGUGGCUGAGAAACAUUUAACAAAACACAAUGGUAACUUUGCCUGUUAACUCAAUACUUCAGAAAAAAAAAGGGGGGGACAAAGUUUGUGAUAACUGCUGGUACAAGCAAUCAUAGAAUGAAGCACGAAAGAAACGCAGCAUAUAUUUGAAUAUGAUGAUUCGAAUGAAAUUCAGUACACUGCACCUUGGUCUUCUAGUUCAUUACAUAAUUCUCUUAAGAAUCAAGCUUAGUGGUUAAAAAAUAUCAAUAAAAUUAAACUUUUAAUGAAAAUCACAGUGAGGGUGCCUUGGAAAUAAUAUCAGAAAUUGAGACGUUUCUGUUUGCUCAGUCUUUUCAGGUUGAAUUUAAUUAUAAACCUUGUCUUGUGGAAAAGUUAGGUGUUUGGUCAGUGGUUAAGUAAAAAUGAGUGGUAGCAUAUUUACAUCUCUCUUGCAUGUAUUAAACCUUUUGUAAAAUAUAACCCACUGCACUAAACAGAUUUGAUAUCAUUGCUUUUCUCCCUUCUUCCAUCGUAUAUCUUCACAAGAAAAACCCUAUUCUCAGUUUCUUUCUGGAUUUACAACCUUUACAGUUUUUCUGAUUUAAUAACAAAAAUAGUGAGUUGCAUUGAUACAUUUUGCAUGAAAACUUUCCACUUUUGGUUUCUUAACCAGUAUUCCAAGGGAAUUUAUUAACAUUCUCUUUGAAAUAAUUAAGUCACAUAAAUCCCAAAUUAAGACCCACAAGUACUAAUACGUACAAAUACCCUUUUAUCUCUCAAACUAAAACAGCUCAUAAACAAAAAGGUGUGUCAAUUUGUCUUGUUAGGUACAUCCUUAAUAUGAGAAUAUAGAGUUUGCCGUGUGUUCAAUACAAAACUUACACAUCCCCAGAAUAACGAAGAUUUAUAUUUACCCAUAAAAGUGAUACUUUAAAGUACUUCAAUAGUUUAUAAUUUUAACCAUACAUUAAAAAAAAUACAGGAGAACAACUUUGGCCUAAUAAAGAGUAAGCACAUAUGAAAUAUAUUAAAUUCACAGCAGAAAAAUAAGAGAAUAAACAAUUACAGAGGUGACAAACCCACCUGGGUUUAGAUUAACUUACCUGGGGAAGUAUCCCACCCAACAAUGCUGAACAGAGAGCUGUGCAAGCACCAGCAUUUAUAAUGUAACUGCAAUCACAAACAAGAAAUUUGUCUAUGGUGACAUAACAUCUACAUAGAUUAAGAAACUAAAAUUUGAUGAAGAAUCAGAUGCAAAAUUGUAAUGUCUAAACUUACGCUGCCCAUUCCAUUCCUUGUUCAGCAAAUGCAGAAGAUAUUGGUGUAUCCGGUUCAAUUGCAUAAUAAGGUACUAAACCAACUACAACAAGGGACACCAUCAUAUAUAUCCCACAGCAAAGAAACAAUGCACCUGCAAUACCUAGGGGUAAAUCUCGUUGAGGAUUUUUCACCUGUUUCAUCAAGUGAAACAUUAUCAGCAAGUUCGAACAAUUGAGCAUCCUCAAGCAUGCAUAUAUGUUUGGUGUAAAUUAUUUUGGAGAAAUAAUUGCCUCUUUUUGGGUAAAUACUUUUUGUUUCUGGUGAACUCAAGCUAUCCCAGUUGGGAGCCAAGGAUUAAUCUUCCGAAAUAUUGAGAUUCAUAUAUGAAGUUCAUAUCAGACAAAUGCUUUUCUAUACAUACGGAGCUCUCAGGACUAAACUUCUGAUCACAUAAUCAAAGAACAAAAUUAUCUGUCAAUAACAUACUAGGUUUGAAACCUAGUUAAAUUUUUAUCUCUCAAAAUGCUUUUAGUUUCUAAAUAAAAUUAUUUGGUUGUAGUUCUUAAAUGUAACAGAAACAUUAGUAUUUUCCCUACAGACAAAAUAUAUAUGUUGAGACCAAAAUUAUCUUUUUGUUAUUAAGAAAAUUGAGCUGACAAAAUAAUAUAAACUGAACCAAUAAACUGACACUAUCAUUAUUACCUCUUCAGCAGUGCUGGCAACUGCAUCAAAGCCUAUGUAUGCAAAGAAUACUGUGGCAGAACCAGCUAGUAUCCCAUUAAAACCAAAGGGAAAAAGUCUGUGAAAGCAAAAGAGACAAGCCUUAGGUAAUUAGAGACCAAACAUAUAACAUAGGAGAAGUGCAAAAGCAAAAAUUUAAAGUACCAAUCAGGAGUUUUGUCAAAUGAAACAGUACCCCAUAGGAAGAUCAUAUCCAAGCCAACCAGACUUGAAUCCCAUGUAACCACCAGCUACUAUGACAAAAAGCAAUGCACAUAUAUUCACUGCUGUCACUAUUCCUUGUACCACUGUACUCUGCAUGUAUUAAGCACUCUAAAUUUUUGGAUAUUUUAGCUUAGAAAACAAAUAAAGAACAGUGACAGGGUGAAUAUGUUCAUUGUGCAAAGCUCACGGUUCACAUACAAAGGAUCCAUGCAGUAUCUUAAACGAACAGAAAGAAAACAAUAUCACUCAUAUAUACAAAGAAGAAAUAUUAGUAUACGAACUCCUAUAUUACAUCAAUUUUUCAAAUAAUACUUUGUAAUAAAACAUUUUAUACUUUGUAAAUUUCUGUAUUUUCAGUAACUUUAUUUUACAAAAUGUCUACUCGUGUAAAGAUUUAUAAAUAAGCCUUUGUUAGCUGAUCAUUACUAAAAUUUGGUUAGUUUUUACUUUUUAUAAUCACAAUAGCCUAUACUGAAGGACUUAGGUAGAUCAUGUAAAUUUAAUUCCUAGAUAAAAGUAGAUAAAAGUAAGAAAAUUGAAUAGGUCAUUGUGAUUUAGUAAAAGCUUGUAAUAAUAGAAAAUUACCUCCUUGAUGCCCAGACACAAGAGUCCUGUAACAAGUAAUACCAAGAUUGCUGCACAUGGGUCUACAACUAUAUCCAUUCCAGAAAUAUGGUACCGCGAUAUGAACACUGGUAAAUUCUCCUUACCAAAAAGUGCAGUCUAAUCACACAUUUCAUUCAUGUCAGUGUUUGAAAUCACCUUUUCUUGCAAUUGGUUAAGCUAAAAGCAAGCAAAACAUUCUAUACAAAUUCUCAAAUUCAUAAACCUGACAACCAAAAAACUGAACUAACAACGCACCAAAUUGGGGGUUACGCCACGAGCAACAGCAGCACUGCCAAUUGUAUAUUCCAAAAUCAAGGACCAACCAAUCAACCAAGCAACACUGAAAGUAAAAGUAACCAUCAUUACUAUGAAUGUGAGAAGAAAAGAAACCGCCAAAUAAGGCUGCUAACACUGAAUGAUGCAAUUAGACAAUGGAAAAGAAAAACAAGAAUGAUACUUAAAGGACAUAGAUGUUAUAUAAAUUGGUAUACAACGUUAAAACAUAAAAAAGAGUACCCUUCUCCAAUACAUAUGUAUGAAUAGUGAUAUGCACUCCCUGCAGAAGGGCAUCUACUAGCCAACUCUGCAUAACAAAAGGCAGAAAGACCAGCUGCUAAUCCAGCAAUCAGAAAAGAAAUGGCCAAAGCAGGUCCAGCAUGCUCCCGUGCAACUGUUCCCACCAGAACAUACACUCCAGCACCAAUUGUUGAACCAACACCUGAUCAUCAUAUACCAAUGUCAAACUCAAUUGCAAAACAAUUAAUGUGUGUUCAUUAGAAGCUAAAAAAUUAGGAAAAUAAACACACUAAUAUGUCUUAGGAAUCUUGGUGUCAGUUUGAAUCCCAAAGUGAGAAAAUUGAGCAAUAUAAGAAAAUGAAAGACUUCAAUUUUUUGUUUUGAAAUUGGUGCUGUAAUUUCUUUUAUAAAUUGGUUUAUAAUGAAAGUAACUUUAAUCAUAACUGUAGUAAAUAUAAUAUCACAGAGGAAUUUUCUUUGACUUUGGAAGACUGUGAAAACACAAUCAUGACAAAAAUAUAAAAUAAAAAAGGGAAGGAAUAUGUCGUUCUGCCAAUAAGAAAAGAGGAAAUCCGACAAAUGUACCAAUCAAGCGGUCAAACAUGAAGACAAACCAAACAUUUUUCCACAUCACCCGAAAAUUGUAACAAUUCCAGGAACGUAUCCCAGAUGAAAACAUGAUUAAAGAUGAGAUUUUUAAUUAAAAAAGAAGAAGAAGAAGAAGAAGAAGAAGAAGAAGGAGAGGAAAGGAAUUGAAUUAAUCACCAAUAGCAAUGAGAUGAGGAACAGUUAACUCCCUGGCAAGAGAAGGCUGAGAGUAAUUCCUACUUUGAGAAUCAACCUGCUUCCUCCUAGUUAAAAACUUGAAGGAACCCCCUGAACCAUUUUGUGAUUGUGAACCAAUUGAAACACCCAUCAAAGAAAAAAAAAAACACACACACACACAGACACGAAUAUUUGCUAGCUCAACCACAAAGCCAAGUCUCCCUUAAUGAAAAACAAAAUCAACUUUGUCCCAAGAUCAAAGUGCACAACACAAAGGUGGUGGUGGUGUGGCCAAAAUUAACUAAUGUCGUAUAAUUCUCCUUGCUCUGUUGAUGGGGUUGUUGUCGUUAUGGAUAAAAGUGGCAAAAUAAGAAUCUGAAAUCGAAAUUGUUUGCGUCUUUCCUUGCUUGAUGGUGGUGACCAAUGCUGACAGAUUGACAAAAACGAAUGAAAGGGUAAAGGAAUGCUUAACGCCAAAUGGUAACGCUAUAAAAGGUAUCAUUGAGAAAGUAGGGGCAAUUAUAUAUAGUAAUUGUUUGCGUCUUUCCUUGCAUGUCAGCUAUCUUAUGUUUAUAGUUAACUCAAAACGUAUGGAUAUGUUUAAAAAAUAUAUGGGAGUCUGUCAGACAACCCUGCGACCAUCCCAAUUCGCUAGAACGGGAACGAUCCUCUACAGGAGGUGAUGAACACAGUCCGUAAACUGAGUCAACACUACCGUUAAUCACGCUCUGAUCACAGGGUCAUGGUUCAUCCACCAGACUUCAGUUCCUGUCUCCUUAGAACUUAAGGAUACAGAGGUACGAGCCUAUAGAACAGAUCCUGUUCAAGUAAGGUCGUGGCCAGAGCUAUCUGAUUCGCGUUUAUA